GGGUUGUGAGGUUAAGCGAAUAAGCGUACACGGUGGAUGCCUAGGCAAUCAGAGGCGAUGAAGGACGUGCUAAUCUGCGAAAAGCGUCGGUAAGGUGAUAUGAACCGUUAUACCCGACGAUAUCCGAAUGGGGAAACCCAGUAUCCAAUGGAUACUAUCAUUAACUGAAUCCAUAGGUUAAUGAGGCGAACCGGGAGAACUGAAACAUCUCAGUACCCCGAGGAAAAGAAAUCAACCGAGAUUCCCCUAGUAGCGGCGAGCGAACGGGGAGCAGCCCAGAGUCUUAAUCAAUAGCAGUGUCAGGAGAACGGUCUGGAAAGUCCGGCAGUAAAGGGUGAUAGCCCCGUAUCUGAAGAUGCUGUUGUUGUGAACUCGACGAGUAGGGCGGGACACGUGUUAUCCUGUCUGAAUAUGGGGGGACCAUCCUCCAAGGCUAAAUACUCCUGAUUGACCGAUAGUGAACCAGUACCGUGAGGGAAAGGCGAAAAGAACCCCGGCGAGGGGAGUGAAAAAGAACCUGAAACCGUGUACGUACAAGCAGUAGGAGCCUCUUUAUGGGGUGACUGCGUACCUUUUGUAUAAUGGGUCAGCGACUUAUAUUCUGUAGCAAGGUUAACCGCAUAGGGGAGCCGUAGGGAAACCGAGUCUUAACUGGGCGAAUGAGUUGCAGGGUAUAGACCCGAAACCCGGUGAUCUAUCCAUGGGCAGGUUGAAGGUUGGGUAAAACUAACUGGAGGACCGAACCGACUAAUGUUGAAAAAUUAGCGGAUGACUUGUGGAUGGGGGUGAAAGGCCAAUCAAACCGGGAGAUAGCUGGUUCUCCCCGAAAGCUAUUUAGGUAGCGCCUCGUGAACUCAUCUUCGGGGGUAGAGCACUGUUUCGACUAGGGGGUCAUCCCGACUUACCAACUCGAUGCAAACUGCGAAUACCGAAGAAUGUUAUCACGGGAGACACACGGCGGGUGCUAACGUCCGUCGUGAAGAGGGAAACAACCCAGACCGCCAGCUAAGGUCCCAAAGUCAUGGUUAAGUGGGAAACGAAGUGGGAAGGCUCAGACAGCCAGGAUGUUGGCUUAGAAGCAGCCAUCAUUUAAAGAAAGCGUAAUAGCUCACUGGUCGAGUCGGCCCGCGCGGAAGAUGUAACGGGGCUAAACCAUGCACCGAAGCUGCGGCAGCGACACAAAGUGUUGUUGGGUAGGGGAGCGUUCUGUAAGCCUGCGAAGGUGUACUGUGAGGUAUGCUGGAGGUAUCAGAAGUGCGAAUGCUGACAUAAGUAACGAUAAUGCGGGUGAAAAACCCGCACGCCGGAAGACCAAGGGUUCCUGUCCAACGUUAAUCGGGGCAGGGUGAGUCGACCCCUAAGGCGAGGCUGAAAAGCGUAGUCGAUGGGAAACGGGUUAAUAUUCCCGUACUGGUGGUAACUGCGAUGGGGGAACGGAGAAGGCUAGGUUGUCCGGGCGACGGUCGUCCCGGUUCAAGCAGGUAGGCAGAGUGAUUAGGCAAAUCCGGUCACUUAAUGCUGAGAUGUGAUGACGAACCACCAAGGUGGUGAAGCAAUUGAUGCCCCGCUUCCAGGAAAAGCCUCUAAGCUUCAGGUUACCAACAAUCGUACCCCAAACCGACACAGGUGGUCAGGUAGAGAAUACUCAGGCGCUUGAGAGAACUCGGGUGAAGGAACUAGGCAAAAUGGUGCCGUAACUUCGGGAGAAGGCACGCUGGCGGUAGGUAAAGUCCCUCGCUGACAGAGCUGAAGCCAGUCGAAGAUACCAGCUGGCUGCAACUGUUUAUUACAAACACACCACUGUGCAAACACGAAAGUGGACGUAUACGGUGUGACGCCUGCCCGGUGCUGGAAGGUUAAUUGAUGGGGUCAGCCGUAAGGCGAAGCUCCUGAUCGAAGCCCCAGUAAACGGCGGCCGUAACUAUAACGGUCCUAAGGUAGCGAAAUUCCUUGUCGGGUAAGUUCCGACCUGCACGAAUGGCGUAAUGAUGGCCAGGCUGUCUCCACCCGAGACUCAGUGAAAUUGAACUCGCUGUGAAGAUGCAGUGUACCCGCGGCAAGACGGAAAGACCCCGUGAACCUUUACUAUAGCUUGACACUGAACAUUGAGCCUUGAUGUGUAGGAUAGGUGGGAGGCUUUGAAGUGUGGACGCCAGUCUGCAUGGAGCCAACCUUGAAAUACCACCCUUUAACGUUUGAUGUUCUAACCUAGGCCCAUAAACUGGGUCGGGGACCGUGUCUGGUGGGUAGUUUGACUGGGGCGGUCUCCUCCUAAAGAGUAACGGAGGAGCACGAAGGUUGGCUAAGCAUGGUCGGACAUCAUGCGGUUAGUGCAAAGGCAUAAGCCAGCUUGACUGCGAGAGUGACGGCUCGAGCAGGUACGAAAGUAGGUCUUAGUGAUCCGGUGGUUCUGAAUGGAAGGGCCAUCGCUCAACGGAUAAAAGGUACUCCGGGGAUAACAGGCUGAUACCGCCCAAGAGUUCAUAUCGACGGCGGUGUUUGGCACCUCGAUGUCGGCUCAUCACAUCCUGGGGCUGAAGUAGGUCCCAAGGGUAUGGCUGUUCGCCAUUUAAAGUGGUACGCGAGCUGGGUUUAGAACGUCGUGAGACAGUUCGGUCCCUAUCUGCCGUGGGCGUUGGAAGAUUGAGAGGGGUUGCUCCUAGUACGAGAGGACCGGAGUGAACGCACCACUGGUGUUCGGGUUGUCAUGCCAAUGGCAUUGCCCGGUAGCUAAGUGCGGAAGAGAUAACCGCUGAAAGCAUCUAAGCGGGAAACUUGCCUCGAGAUGAGUCUUCCCUGUCACUUUAAGUGACCUAAAGGAACGUUUAAGACUAAGACGUUGAUAGGCUGGGUGUGUAAGCGUAGCGAUACGUUGAGCUAACCAGUACUAAUGAACCGUGAGGCUUAACCUGACAACACCGAAAGUGUUUUG
rnacentral:rRNA from 1 species